ACGGAAGGCAGCAGUGGGGAAUAUUGCACAAUGGGCGAGAGCCUGAUGCAGCAACGCCGCGUGAGGGAAGACGGUUUUCGGAUUGUAAACCUUUGUCCUUAGUGAAGAUAAUGACGGUAGCCGAGGAGGAAGCCACGGCUAACUACGUGCCAGCAGCCGCGGUAAUACGUAGGUGGCAAGCGUUGUCCGGAUUUACUGGGUGUAAAGGGAGCGCAGGCGGGGGAGCAAGUCAGCUGUGAAAUAUACGGGCUUAACUCGUAGACUGCAGUUGAAACUGUUCUUCUUGAGUGAAGUAGAGGUAGGCGGAAUUCCGAGUGUAGCGGUGAAAUGCGUAGAGAUUCGGAGGAACACCAGUGGCGAAGGCGGCCUACUGGGCUUUAACUGACGCUGAGGCUCGAAAGUGUGGGGAGCAAACAGGAUUAGAUACCCUGGUA
rnacentral:rRNA from 1 species